rnacentral:rRNA from 1 species
GUGGGGAAUCUUGCGCAAUGGGCGAAAGCCUGACGCAGCCAUGCCGCGUGAAUGAUGAAGGUCUUAGGAUUGUAAAAUUCUUUCACCGGGGACGAUAAUGACGGUACCCGGAGAAGAAGCUCCGGCUAACUUCGUGCCAGCAGCCGCGGUAAUACGAAGGGGGCUAGCGUUGCUCGGAAUUACUGGGCGUAAAGGGCGCGUAGGCGGACAGCUUAGUCAGAGGUGAAAGCCCAGGGCUCAACCUUGGAAUUGCCUUUGAUACUGGCUGUCUUGAGUGUGGGAGAGGUGAGUGGAACUCCGAGUGUAGAGGUGAAAUUCGUAGAUAUUCGGAAGAACACCAGUGGCGAAGGCGACUCACUGGCCCAAUACUGACGCUGAGGCGCGAAAGCGUGGGGAGCAAACAGGAUUAGAAACCCUUGUAGUCC